CAUGUGAUCGAGUACACUCAGGUGGUAGGGCCGUGGACUCUAAAAGUUUUUAAAAGUCUUUCUCCUGGCAAAAUAUGCAUAACGAGUUUAAUAAGCAACUUUUCUGCCUUAGGGUAUAAAGGAGACUUGCUCUGUUGCCCAGUCUGGAGUGUAGUGGCACAAUCUCAGCACACUGCAACUUCUACCUCCUGUGUUCAAGUGAUUCUCCUGCCUCAGCCUCCCGAGUAUCUAGGAUUACAGUGUCGGCCAGCUGAGAAACAGAGACAGUAUAAAGAGAGGAAUUUUACAGCCGGGCCGCCAGGAGUGACAUCACGUAUCAGUAGGACCAUGAUGCCCACCUGAGCCUCAAACCAGCAAGUUUUUAUUAAGGGUUUCAAAAAGGGAGGGGGUGUAAGAACAGGGAGUAGGUACA